UUGGGGUGUUGCUUGUUUUGGCUGAGUGUGGCUACAUAGUUAGCUUUAGUAGAACUACAUUGCUAGGUAGGGGUGUACUUGGUUUGGGUCCGACAGAAGAGGUUGUGAAUACCAGGGAAGAUUCUGGAGACCACACAGUUAGCGUUAGGGUGCUCCAUUGAAGUCUGGGAAGCUAACUGGCUAGCCUGGGAGCGCCUACACGUUUAACCCGGGAAUGAAGUGACUACUCGGCUUUGGAAGAGAGUUCACUCGGUCGUUCGUGGUGGUGGUGGUGGUAGUAGUAGUAGGGUGCUGUUGUUGGUUUUGGAAACUUUGACACUAACGUGGUACCGAAUUUGUCGAACAACCGGGUAUAGCUCGGCGGUUCUAAAGGCGAGCGGAGGCCGACUAUCGAUGCCAAUAUUGGGGUUGGAAUAAGAAAGGAGGAGAACAAGAAGAAGCUUGGCCACGCAACGCUCCGAUACAAAGUGUGGCCAUUAAAAGAAGGCAAUAGCGAACCCUGGCGAGACUCCCCUCGCCUCAGGACGUUCGAGUUCAGCUAUCGAGCGUCACGUCGGCCGCGAGGAACGCAUGUCACGUCUCACCAUUAAAACUUUGGCAGCACUUUCCAGCUGGCUGAUGACUUCUGCCGUACCGAGCGCCGCCAUCAUUGAUGCCGGGCCCUCGAAGAUGACGCGAUCGCGGUUCACGGCAUUAUGGGUAACACACUUCACACUUCAGCCCUCCCCGAGGAAAACAAAACAUUUCACCCCCGGCCGCAUGCAGACUCGUCAAGUGGCAGCUGGUGCUUGUUGGUCCCGUGCGAGGAGGGCGUCAGUCCAAGGGGAGUCCAUCAGUGACAGGAGUGAAAGUGAUUGAACCCCGGUCCUCGGAACUGUGAGGCUGACGCUCUAACCAGUCACCCACCGUGCCGCCGAAAUGGCCAAUAAAAAUGGAAAAACACUAAUGAGAGAGCCUGAAGAGGAGGAUGCUAUUCAUGUGGCACAGCUUGAAGCAGGCACCAGGAGCCGGUGAGGAUGGGCCUGGCUCAAGUUGGAGGCCAAAACAAAAAAGCAAAGAAAUGCAGCAAAUUUUAUUUUAAUCUUAAAUUUGUACAUCAACAUGUACUUGCGUGGUAUAAAUAAAUGUUUCUCUGCAUGAAGAA